rnacentral:rRNA from 1 species
GAAACAGUUGCUAAAACUGGAUAGGAAAUAAAAAGGCAUCUUUUUAUUUUUAAAAGACCUUUUUCGGAAGGUAUGCUUAAAGAGGGGCUUGCGUCACAUUAGUUAGUUGGCAGGGUAAAGGCCUACCAAGACUAUGAUGUGUAGCUGGACUGAGAGGUUGAACAGCCACAUUGGGACUGAGACACGGCCCAAACUCCUACGGGAGGCAGCAGUAGGGAAUUUUCGGCAAUGGAGGAAACUCUGACCGAGCAACGCCGCGUGAACGAUGAAGUAUUUCGGUAUGUAAAGUUCUUUUAUUGAAGAAGAAAAAAUAGUGGAAAAACUAUCUUGACGAUAUUCAAUGAAUAAGCCCCGGCAAACUAUGUGCCAGCAGCCGCGGUAAUACAUAGGGGGCGAGCGUUAUCCGGAAUUAUUGGGCGUAAAGGGUGCGUAGGCGGUUUAAUAAGUCUAUAGUUUAAUUUCAGUGCUUAACACUGUCCUGCUAUAGAAACUAUUAGACUAGAGUGAGAUAGAGGCAAGUGGAAUUCCAUGUGUAGCGGUAAAAUGCGUAAAUAUAUGGAGGAACACCAGAGGCGUAGGCGGCUUGCUGGGUCUUUACUGACGCUGAGGCACGAAAGCGUGGGGAGCAAACAGGAUUAGAUACCCUGGUAGUCCACGCCGUAAACGAUGAGUACUAAGUGUCGGGAUUACUCGGUACUGAAGUUAACACAUUAAGUACUCCGCCUGAGUAGUACGUACGCAAGUAUGAAACUUAAAGGAAUUGACGGGACUCCGCACAAGCGGUGGAUCAUGUUGUUUAAUUCGAAGAUACACGAAAAACCUUACCAGGUCUUGACAUACUCUGCAAAGCUAUAGCAAUAUAGUGGAGGUUAUCAGGGAUACAGGUGGUGCAUGGUUGUCGUCAGCUCGUGUCGUGAGAUGUUAGGUUAAGUCCUAAAACGAGCGCAACCCUUGUCAUUAGUUGCCAGCAUGUCAUGAUGGGCACUUUAAUGAGACUGCCAAUGAAAAAUUGGAGGAAGGUGAGGAUCACGUCAAAUCAUCAUGCCCCUUAUGAUCUGGGCUACAAACGUGAUACAAUGGCUGUUACAAAGAGUAGCUGAAACGCAAGUUUAUAGCCAAUCUCAUAAAAGCAGUCUCAGUUCGGAUUGAAGUCUGCAACUCGACUUCAUGAAGUUGGAAUCGCUAGUAAUCGCGAAUCAGCAUGUCGCGGUGAAUACGUUCACGGGGUUUGUAACACACCGUGCGUC